AAGCCUUCCUGGCGGGGAGAUGCCAUGAUCAUGGAGGUGUUUUCCCAGGGUGAGGCUUAUUCAUUGUACCCUGGGAGUGCUGACCCCUGCAAUUUCCCCAAAUAUGGGAAAUUCAACUGUAUAAUUAGUGGUAGUGUUUGAGUUCUCUCCUUAAACA